AGCGGCAAGAAGCACCUUCUUUCUCAAAGUCAACUUUCUCCCUUUUUACUAGUAGUUGAGUGCUCAUUGUUGUUCGGAUCUUGACCGGAUCCGAGCUUCCCAAGCUCUAUGCUGUUGGGGAACUCCGUCGAAUGGUUUCACUCCUCUUUUCCCCUUUUGUCAGUUCCUUGUCAGUCAGUCGACUCCCCUCCCUCAAAAGAUUGUCGAACUUCACGGUUAUUCAUCCAUAUAUGGGUAAUCUCCGGCGGUCAGAGAAGAAAGGAUCUCCAUGAAAGC
rnacentral:lncRNA from 1 species